rfam:Pleurotus ostreatus PC15 unplaced genomic scaffold scaffold_03, whole genome shotgun sequence.
GCCCGCCUAGCUCAAUCGGAUAGAGCGUCAGACUCUUACUUAAGUCUGCUUAGGCGAUCUGAAGGCUGCGAGUUCGACCCUCGCGGUGGGCU